UACGAAGGGGGCUAGCGUUGUUCGGAAUUACUGGGCGUAAAGGGUGCGUAGGCGGGUUUUUAAGUCAGGGGUGAAAUCCUGGAGCUCAACUCCAGAACUGCCUUUGAUACUGAAGAUCUUGAGUCCGGGAGAGGUGAGUGGAACUGCGAGUGUAGAGGUGAAAUUCGUAGAUAUUCGCAAGAACACCAGUGGCGAAGGCGGCUCACUGGCCCGGUACUGACGCUGAGGCACGAAAGCGUGGGGAGCAAACAGG
rnacentral:rRNA from 1 species